GUUCGAAGAAGACAUUGUCGAAUAGAUGAUCAAAUAUUUUUCAUUUGUGUUCUUAUUACAUUAGGCGUUCUUAUCAUAUAACGUAGUAUAUGAUCAGAAAUGUAGUAAGAAAUAUUGAAAAUAAAAAAUAAAAACUAGAAAUAAAACGCAGACGUUAAAAUAUUUUCAGUGGAUGGAAAAGCUCUCAUUAGUUUACCAAAUUAACUACCUUCUAAAUAGAGCUAUCUCAUUUUUUGCUAUUCAUUUUAAUAACACAUUUUUACGAAAAUAAGAAACAAAUAAUUAUGAUGAAUGGAUAUGUUUUGAAUUUCAAUUAAUGCAAUAUUUGAACUACUGGUAAAUUAUUGAGAUAACGAAUUAAAUAAACCCUUUCGAUAAAUUCAUGAUUUGGAAGUUGGCAGUAUAUAACCUAUUGUAAGCGGGAUAACACAAUCUUAUUUUCUAAUGGUUUUUUUUACCAAGUCUGUGAAUCUAAGUACGCUCCGUGUGAACUGAUCGAUCCUUUGAAUACACUUAUUCUAAAAGGUGACCAAUUCAAUACAGUAAUUGAUCUUUGAAUAAUGUUUUAUAUGAUUGUAUGCAUAUUUAUUUUAUUACUAAUGAAUAAAAGAAUAACCAGA
rnacentral:lncRNA from 1 species